GAGUUGCUCAUGUGGGCUUAGCAAUAGGCAAUGAAACGAAUCUGGCAUUGAAACAGACGUGGGUUUUUACAAUGGGUUUAGACUGAAAAGAAGUGCUGUGUUGCAUGAGUCCAUCUUCACACUAAGCAUGAAAGCCAGAGAAGGACCAUCCGGUGCUCCUGGUGGAGACAGUGUCUCGGGACACUGCCUGUGAGGUUUUCAGGAUAGGAAAAAGAAGAGAAAAGGAAACCCAGCCCCUUGGUUUUCUUGUUUUAUAAUGUGGCCAUUUCAGAGGCUGUGACUAUAGGAUUAAAUGCUUAGCAAUUGGCAGGACUUUAUAUUGACUGGUGUUUAAAACUUAAAAUUCAGUUAUUCCAACCACAGAUACUAUUAAAAGAACUCUGGAGUCAAGAGGAAUGAGCAGGCAAGAGGGUGAGGCUGUGUCUAUGGCUGGAGGAAAGGUGUGAUGAGUUGCUGUUUUGUUGCUAGGCAAUAGGUUUUAUGUGACAACAAUUCCUUUCCUUUAAAGAACUAGAGUGCUCUUUUUGUUUAAUGAAAGCAUUAGAUUUUCUUGGUACAAGAGGUACCCAUUGAGUUUACGUGAAUAUGUGGUAUUAUAGUAAACAGUGCUUAUGAAAGGGAAUGCUAUUCUAUUUUUGAAUUCUUUUGUUUUACAUUGCCACCUCUAGAAAUCAUUUGCCUGAGGAGAUGUGGUUUUUUCCUUUUCUCAAAUGAUUUCUGUUGUUUGGCUUGUCUGACUGUAAACCUCUAAAUUACCCCCAGCUGUUAUGAAUGUGCUUCUGAAUUUCUCAACAGAUAGCAUAGCAUGUUUGUGUUUGGGGAUGUUAGAAGAUUUGCUUUUAUAAUUCCAAACUAGUUAACAAAUCCUGAUGUAAAUAUGUUAUGGUAUCUUCUAUAUUUCUUCUUUUAUUGAUCCUAUUAUAAUGUAAAAUGUUGUAGACUGCUUAUGGUCACAUUAAGACAGGGCCAUAUAUCUCUUGCAUCCUUAUAGCCUUAAUACCAAUCUAACAUAAAACUUGGCAUAUAGUUUAUAUCAAUAAAUGAACGGUUGUUGAAUAAGUGAAUGAAUGGAUGCACAAAUCAUUGAUAUACUGUUGCAUUUUCCAGUGACGUGGAUUUAUUUAUUUAUUUAUUUAUUUAUUAUUUUGUUUUUGAGAUGGAGUCUCGCUCAGUCUCCCAGGCUGGAGGGUAGUAGUACGAUCUCAGCUUACAGCAACCUCUGCCUCCCCUGCCUCUCCGGUUCAAGCGAUUCUCCUGCCUCAGCCUCCUGAGUAGCUGGUAUUACAGGCAUCUGCCACCAUGCCCUGCUAAUUUUUGUAUUUUUAGUAGAAGAUGAGGUUUCACCAUGUUGGCCAGGCUGAUGUAAAACUCCUGACCUCAAGUGAUUCACCUGCCUCGGCCUCCCCAAGUGCUGGGAUUACAGGCGUGAGCCACUGCGCCUGGCCUGAUAAUAUUCUUCUAUAUUUUAGAGACCAUGGAGUUAAUUCUAAAAAUGGAAAAUACUUAGGCCUGAAUACCAGCCCAUAGGUUUACUAUUUUUCCCUAAGGUAAUGUCUUCUCCUUAAGCAGCAUUAGAGCUUUGCUAACAUGCCAUCUAAAAAUGUACCCCCCAAGCUGGGCUCAGUGGCUCACGCCUGUAAUCCCAGCACUUUGGGAGGCCGAGGCAGGCAGAUCACCUGAGGUUGGGAGUUUGAAACCAGCCUGACCAACAUGGAGAAACCCCGUCUC
rnacentral:lncRNA from 10 species